UACGUAGGGGGCAAGCGUUGUCCGGAUUCAUUGGGCGUAAAGAGCGUGUAGGCGGCCAGGUAGGUCGGUUGUGAAAACUGGAGGCUCAACCUUCAGACGUCGACCGAAACCAUCUGGCUAGAGUCCGGGAGAGGAGAGUGGAAUUCCUGGUGUAGCGGUGAAAUGCGCAGAUAUCGGGAGGAACACCUGUGGCGAAAGCGGCGCACUGGACCACAACUGACGCUGAGGCGCGAAAGCUAGGGGAGCAAACAGG
rnacentral:rRNA from 1 species